rnacentral:rRNA from 1 species
AGUGAACGCUGGCGGUAGGCCUAACACAUGCAAGUCGAACGGCAGCACAGUAAGAGCUUGCUCUUACGGGUGGCGAGUGGCGGACGGGUGAGGAAUACAUCGGAAUCUACUUUUUCGUGGGGGAUAACGUAGGGAAACUUACGCUAAUACCGCAUACGACCUACGGGUGAAAGCAGAGGAUCUUCGGACCUUGCGCGAUUGAAUGAGCCGAUGUCGGAUUAGCUAGUUGGCGGGGUAAAGGCCCACCAAGGCGACGAUCCGUAGCUGGUCUGAGAGGAUGAUCAGCCACACUGGAACUGAGACACGGUCCAGACUCCUACGUGAGGCAGCAGUGGGGAAUAUUGGACAAUGGGCGCAAGCCUGAUCCAGCCAUACCGCGUGGGUGAAGAAGGCCUUCGGGUUGUAAAGCCCUUUUGUUGGGAAAGAAAAGCAGCAGGUUAAUACCCCGCUGUUCUGACGGUACCCAAAGAAUAAGCACCGGCUAACUUCGUG